rnacentral:rRNA from 1 species
AAUGAACGCUGGCGGCGUGCCUAACACAUGCAAGUCGUACGAGAAAGGGGCUUCGGCCCUGAGUAGAGUGGCGCACGGGUGAGUAACGCGUGGGUAAUCUCCCUUUGGAUUUGGGAUAACUUCGCGAAAGUGGAGCUAAUACCGGAUAGUCUGGCUUUAAUUGAUAAGUCGGUAAAGGAUGCCUCUGCAUAUGCAUUCGUCCAAAGAUGAGCCCGCGUCUCAUUAGCUAGUUGGUAGGGUAAUGGCCUACCAAGGCAACGAUGAGUAGCUGGUCUGAGAGGAUGAUCAGCCACACUGGAACUGAAACACGGUCCAGACUCCUACGGGAGGCAGCAGUGGGGAAUAUUGCGCAAUGGGCGAAAGCCUGAUGCAGCCAUGCCGCGUGUGUGAAGAAGGCCCUAGGGUUGUAAAGCACUUUCAAUAGGGAGGAAAGCUAGUAGUUAAUACCUGCUAGCCCUGACGUUACCUAUAGAAGAAGCACCGGCUAA